UAGGGAAUCUUCCACAAUGGACGCAAGUCUGAUGGAGCAACGCCGCGUGAGUGAAGAAGGUUUUCGGAUCGUAAAGCUCUGUUGUUGGUGAAGAAGGAUAGAGGCAGUAACUGGUCUUUAUUUGACGGUAAUCAACCAGAAAGUCACGGCUAACUACGUGCCAGCAGCCGCGGUAAUGCGUAGGUGGCAAGCGUUGUCCGGAUUUAUUGGGCGUAAAGCGAGCGCAGGCGGAAUGAUAAGUCUGAUGUGAAAGCCCGCGGCUCAACCGUGGAACUGCAUCGGAAACUGUCAUUCUUGAGUGCAGAAGAGGAGAGUGGAAUUCCAUGUGUAGCGGUGGAAUGCGUAGAUAUAUGGAAGAACACCAGUGGCGAAGGCGGCUCUCUGGUCUGCAACUGACGCUGAGGCUCGAAAGCAUGGGUAGCGAACAGG
rnacentral:rRNA from 1 species